rnacentral:rRNA from 1 species
ACGGAGGAUUCGAGCGUUAUCCGGAUUUAUUGGGUUUAAAGGGAGCGUAGGCGGACGCUUAAGUCAGUUGUGAAAGUUUGCGGCUCAACCGUAAAAUUGCAGUUGAUACUGGGUGUCUUGAGUACAGUAGAGGCAGGCGGAAUUCGUGGUGUAGCGGUGAAAUGCUUAGAUAUCACGAAGAACUCCGAUUGCGAAGGCAGCUUGCUGGACUGUAACUGACGCUGAUGCUCGAAAGUGUGGGUAUCAAACAG